ACGAACGUUGGCGGCGUGGAUUAGGCAUGCAAGUCGAACGCGAAAGAGGGGGUAACUCCUCGAGUAGAGUGGUGAACGGGUGAGUAACGCGUGAGAAACCUGCCCAGAAGUGGGGGAUAACACUCCUAACGGGGGUGCUAAUACCGCAUGUGGUGAAUGAGUCGCAUGGCUCGAACACUAAAGGUGGCCUCUGUUUACAAGCUAUCGCUUCUGGAUGGUCUCGCGUCCGAUUAGCUAGUUGGCGGGGGUAAUGGCCUACCAAGGCGACGAUCGGUAGCUGGUCCGAGAGGAUGGUCAGCCACACUGGGACUGAGAUACGGCCCAGACUCCUACGGGAGGCAGCAGUCGAGAGGCUUCGGCAAUGGGGGAAACCCUGACCGAGCGACGCCGCGUGGGGGAUGACAGGCCCUUGGGUUGUAAACCCCUUUCGACCGGGAAGAAUGUUCGCGAGACCAAUAAGCUCGCGGAAUUGACGGUACUGGUAGAAGAAGCUCCGGCUAACUCCGUGCCAGCAGCCGCGGUAAUACGGGGGAGCAAAACGUUGUUCGGAAUCACUGGGCGUAAAGGGCGUGUAGGCGGUUCGGUAAGUGGAAUGUGAAAUCUCCUGGCUUACUUGGGGAACUGCAUCUUAUACUGCUGGACUUGAGUGUGGGAGAGGAUGGAGGAAUUCCUGGUGUAGCGGUGAAACGCGUAGAUAUCAGGAGGAACACCUGUGGCGAAGGCGUCCAUCUGGCCCGUUACUGACGCUGAUGCGCGAAAGCUAGGGGAGCAAACGGGAUUAGAUACCCCGGUAGUCCUAGCCGUAAACGGUGGGCACUAGGUGUUGGAGGCGUUGACCCCUCCAGUGCCGCAGCUAACGCAUUAAGUGCCCCGCCUGGGGAGUACGACCGCAAGGUUGAAACUCAAAGGAAUUGACGGGGGGCCCGCACAAGCGGUGGAGCAUGUGGUUCAAUUCGACGCAACGCGAAGAACCUUACCCAGGCUUGACAUGCACAGGACAGGUGUGGAAACACAUCUUUCCUUCGGGACCUGUGCACAGGUGCUGCAUGGCUGUCGUCAGCUCGUGUCGUGAGAUGUUGGGUUAAGUCCCGCAACGAGCGCAACCCUCGCCCUUAGUUGCUAACGAGUAAAGUCGAGCACUCUAAGGGGACUGUUGGCGGUAAGCCGGAGGAAGGUGGGGAUGACGUCAAGUCCUCAUGGCUCUUACGCCUGGGGCUACACACGUGCUACAAUGGACGAUACAGAGGGCUGCGAUACCGCGAGGUGGAGCCAAUCCCAAAAAAUCGUCCUCAGUUUCGGAUUGCAGUCUGCAACUCGACUGCAUGAAGCCGGAGUCGCUAGUAAUCGCUGAUCAGCAGGCAGCGGUGAAUACGUUCCCGGGUCUUGUACAUACCGCCUGUCAAGCCACGAAAGUUGGGAGUACUCGAAGUCGCCGUGGUAACCCGCAAGGGAGCUAGGCGCCUAAGGUAAAACCAGCGAUUGGGGCU
rnacentral:rRNA from 1 species